UUCAUUACAAAACAAUUUGGGAGCUUUAAAAUGUUGGUUAAGUUUGUAAUGAAAUCACAUGUAAAUGUCAAACCAGAAAUAUUACAACUGGAAAACCAAAAGACAUUUAUUUAUUCAGAUUGAUCUGGAUUCUUGAAAAUUUUUUCUUGCAUUCCAGUCUGAACUUCACAAUGAAGCUGGUCACAGUUCUUUUCCUCUUCUCCUUUAUCCUGUGUGUCAACAGUGCUAAAAGUUCUAUACCAACUCCAGUUGAAAGUUUGGAAAUGGUUGAAAAAGGUGUUAAUGGACUGUGCUUGAACUAUUGUGAAUUGGUGGAAUCAGGAGAAGCAAAAGAUGGCUUUUUCUCACUUUUGGAGAAUGUGAAAUACUAACCAGGACAGCUGGAACAUCAAUCUCUUUAGGAGUUAAUGACCCCAUGGCAGACAAAGAGCUCAACAGAUUGGAUCAAUUUUAAUCUCUUUUCCUUCUUGUUCCCUCUUCCAUGUACUCUAUGAGCCCCAAUCAAAGAAAUACUGUUAUUUCUUUAUCCUGGUGAUUCAGGGUGGUAGAUUCUACUAUGUAUGCUCUUAAUGAACAUGAACUUGAAA